rnacentral:rRNA from 1 species
AUGGAGGCCGUUGCUAAUGCGAUUAUGAGUCUUGUCAUCCCAAUGCUCAGUGAGAUGAUCAAGGAUGAAUACAACCUGGACAAUCAUUUGAAGAGACACGUCAAGUCUCUCCGGCAGGAACUGAUGAUGGUGCAGGCUGCCCUCAGCAAGGUGGCUAAGGUGCCUCGAGACCAGCUCGAUGCGCAGAUCAAGCCCUCGACAGGAGAGGUGAGAAAAUUGUUAUAA